UACAUGGGGUGCAAACGUUGCUCGGAAUUAUUGGGCGUAAAGCGCGCGUAGGCGGUUACUCAAGUCGGAUGUGAAAGCCCUCGGCUUAACUGAGGAAGUGCACCCGAAACUGAGUAGCUAGAGUACUAAAGAGGGUCGCGGAAUUCCCGGUGUAGAGGUGAAAUUCGUAGAUAUCGGGAGGAACACCGGUGGCGAAGGCGGGUCUCUGGGCCGAUACUGACGCUGAGGAGCGAAAGCGUGGGGAGCGAACAGG
rnacentral:rRNA from 1 species